GUGCUCAUUUUGGCAGCACAUAUGCUAAAAUUAGAAUGACACAGAGAAGAUUAGCAUGGCCCUUGCACAAGGAUGACACAAAAGUUCAUGAAGCAUUCCAUAUUUUU
ensembl:snRNA U6 U6 spliceosomal RNA